AGCAGGGAGGAAGGAAGCUGCUUAGCAGCAGAGAAAAACCUGAUUCCUGAGGGAUUGUGGGAGCCCCACCCAGCUCACCGGAAUCCAGCGACAAUUCUGCGAUUCGUUUGUCACUUGAGCUGUUGUUUGUUUGUUUGUUGUUUUUUUCACAGUUUGGAAUAUAUUUCUACCAACAAUUUCUAAAUUGACUGGUAAACUCAGCACACGGUAAGGGUUUAGUCCCAGGAAAGCAAAAGCAGUAGCUACGAUAGGAAAGGGGGAAAAAAAAAGAGCCCUGAGACAGAAGAGCGCGUGCACACACAAAAGCCCAAAGGAAGGUCUGAAGAGAGGGCUUGAUCAGUAAAGUGUUUACUCCCCAGUUCAAUCCCAGAGUGUGCACAAGAGGGAGGGAGGGACCGACGGAGGGGGGGAGGGGAUGGGAAGGACGGGGGGGGGCGGGGGGGGGCGUGCAUAAAAAUUAGCAAAGCCUGGAGUGACAAUGUUUGCCUGGGGAGGGUGGGAGUAGGAGAAUUCCGGAAAGCUCCAAAGCCAACUAGCCGGACACAAAGAGACCCUGUGUCUAAGUGGCAGGUGAGGCUCAACUGCCAAGAUUGUCCUGUGACCUGAUUCACAACCCGUGCUCACACAGGCACACACAUAGCUCAUGCACGAGGGUGCACACACAAAAGAGAAAAAUAACUGGUAAAGCAAUUAUGAUGUCCCUACGGUUUCUGUAUACAUACAUACACAUGCGUACAGAGGCACGUGCACGCGUGUACACACACACACACACACACACACACACACACCAAUAUUACUACUAGGGAGUAUGCACUUCUCUCUUUCCCAUAAGAAAACAGGUUUCCAAAAACUUGCACACAAAAAAAAAAAAAACACUAUCAUUUUAAUGAUAAAUAAGAUGAAGACAUCUGUGAAAUAAGAAACAAAGAAGAACAAAGAAAUCACAUGUUGGGUCUACCUACACUCACAUGUCCACGCAUGCACACACAAGUUCAUGUGCACUUGUAUACUCAUGUGUCCACAGACAUUCAUGCACACCAAACUGUAUACACAGGCAUAUUCACAUGCAUACAUACUGACUGUGCAUAUAUAUAUAUAUAUAUAUAUAUAUAUAUAUAUAUAUAUAUACUGACUGUGCAUAUAUAUUUAUAUGCACAGUCAUACAUAUGUGCAUAUAUAUAUGUAUGUAUAUAUAUACAUACAUACACGCACACACAUACACAAGCAUGUGUACAUAUAUAUAAUAUAUGCCUCAAUAUGUAAACAUGUAUAUAUACACAUUCAUGUGUGCAUACUCAGACAUAUCCCUGUGCAGUAUAUGCAGGCACAUGCACACACAUACACAUAGCUGUACCCAAGCAGUUUCAGGAUCUUAGGUAGUGACAAACGCAUCAAGGUCCCUCCAGUUGCAUCAGAGCUGAGACCUGUCCUAGCAUAGGUGGUCUCUUCAUAUCCAGCUAUUUCAGGACAUGGGUAUAUCUGGCACAGCCUGCUCUUUUCUGGACUGAAUAAACUUCUAUCCCCAUUUCAAAACCACUAGAUGUCAUUUCCCCCUUUUUUUCUUAGCUGUGCCUAGCAUUUUACCUUGUUGCAGACAUUCACUUGCUGUUACACUAAUGGCCCCAAUGCAGUCACAUGUUCCCUGCCAUUUGCUCACGUGCAUAGCAGACAGGUAGGGAGGCAGACACCUUCUCCUAUAUGGCUCUGGGUUUUGUGUGUGUGUGUGUGUGUCUUCCCUUGGGGUGUCCAGGUGCUGCUGCACACCAGCAGGGAGGAUGGAGCAGAGCCAAGUUCUGAGUUCCAACUCUUCCUUGGGGUGCCCAGGCCCUGAUGCACUCCAGGUGGGAAAGGAUGAAAGGAAGUCUGAACAGAUGUUUGGCCUACAUGGAUGUCUCUGUACCAUGUGUGUGCCUGGCACUCUUGGUGACCAAAAGAGGGCAGUGAAUCCUUUUAAACUGGAAUUGAAUAUGCUUGUGAAUUGUCAGGUAAGUUCUGGAAUGAGACCCAGGGACUCUGGAAGAACCAGUGCUUUUUAACUGCUGAGCUGUCUCUCCAGGUAUAUCCUCACAGAUCCCGUUUUUUGAAAGUAUGUUAGAGUUAUACACAGCCAACAAACUUCAUUACUUAUACAAAUAAGCCAAAGCUACAAGACCCUUAAUUUAAGAUGUAUUUUCUUCCAGGAGGA